rnacentral:rRNA from 1 species
UCGCACCUACCGAUUGAAUGGUCCGGUGAAGCCUCGGGAUUGUGGUUAGUUUGCUUCACUGCGAGUUGAUUACGAGAACUUGUCUAAACCUUAUCAUUUAGAGGAAGGUG